CAGAGUUCAGGUCCUGCAACACAGCGAUUGCAGAUAUGAAUCUAAGCAGCCACUGCUAUUCCAGUGUACGAUGCUGCCAAGCAGUAUCCGAAAACUACUUAAUACAGAUCUCUGUUCAUCAGAAUCAAGAAAGAAAUUGAAAUUUUUCCCGCACGCAAUGCAGUCUCCUCGCCUGUUUAAUCAUCAACUAUCGAAAUGAAGUGCAACAUCUCUCAUCAUUCUUCAUGGAAGCAUCUCAUCAAAUUCUCAUCGUACUACACUGACUACAUUCAAUGUACAACGGUUCAGCCAUCUACACAGCCGUAGCCAUCAGGGAGGCAGAGACAUCCGGGUAAAAUCCAAGACCCCCGAGACCUGGGAACCGGCUUGGGUCAGGUCUUGGUACCGGCAGCGAUGGUGAGCGCAGUUAAAGUUCCUCGACUUUUCUGCCAGCUCACGCGAUGGUGUACGCUGGCGUUGGAGUCGUUGUAUUUGUUUACAUUUUUAAGUCUCCAUUCCCAGUUUGUUACAUGGCGUGGCGGUACCCUGAAUUUCAAUUUUAUUAGAUCAGGUAAUUGUAGGUUUGGUUGUUGUUGAGCAUAGCGCACCUGCACCCUGUAGCGUCAAAUAUAAAAAACUUUUCCUUCAAAUCAAUAAAUGAUUGAGUCAGUCAGUCAGUUUAUUGAUUAUUCAGUUAGUUUAUUAAUCAGUCCAUCAGUUAUUUGAGCAAUCAGUCAACCAUUAGUUCGUCAAAUUUGAACUAUUCAGAUAAAUCACAUCUUUAAUAAAUUUGAUUGUGA